UCUCCAGAGGAAGUGGGAGUUUCCCCCUUGCCCCACAACAAUGCAGGUGGCUCUGGAGAUGUUCCCAUAGGCAGAUGGGAGUGCCUGUCAGCAAGGGCAACAAUGGUGUGAGCUGCCAGCAAAGUCCUUCUACCCAUAUGCAGAAUCAUGGUCUCCACCAUGACAGGAAUCCAGGAAUGCAUCAAACCCUAGGCAGCUCUGAAGUCAACAAGUCAGAACCUCAGCCAGCAUGAGCAGAGAAAUUAGAGCUGGGCACUGCAACACAGAAGACAUGCCACUCCAACAGCUUCUUGCAGCACUUCUGGUUUUUAUAGCUACUGACCCAGGCAGAAUAAAUUAGCUGAUUAUUUUCUUAAA